CUUUAUAAAAAAUGAGUAUUUAUUCUACAUUCAACAGGAAACAAUCAUAUACUUAACAGAUGGUAAAUCUUAACGACAUUACAGAGAGUCGUCUUGACAUCAGAGAGGAGAGCAAACGGAUCGUAGCAGGAAGAGACUGUAAUCCUUUGUCCUUGGCUCUAUAUACCCCAAAUUACGUCAUAACGUUUAGUUUAGACCCUGCAAUAUAAGGAAGUUCCCUACAUAAAGACUGCCUCAGAUCUCUUAUACAGCAAAUUCCAGAGACCUCAUAUUACAGAGUAGCAAACACCAUCUGUUCUGUUUAACCCAUUAGACAGCCACAUCUUAAUAUGUAUUUGAAUAGGAACAUACAGAAUAUUCAAUAUUCUACAUUUCCCUCUGUUUUUGGUUUAUUUAUAAACCAUAACAAAAUGUUAUUUACCUGUCCAUUCAUACAUCAUUCGUAUCACAUUUCAUAUCACAGUCGUUGGGUAUAAGAAGAGAUGUGUUCAUAGCUACCCGGUAUCUGAGAUUCCUUGGAAGUAUUGUGUAGUACCCUGUUUACAGUUUCCUUUAGUGUAUUCUCCUUCUGUUUAGCCUUUUCAUUUAUGAGUAUAUACAGUUUUCUAAUUCUACAUUGCAUAAUUACUUGUAAAACAAUACAUAUUAUAGAUACACAUACAACAAUAAUAAAUGGAUGAAAUAAAAUAUUUACAAUUGCUGAUCCUACAGAUGAUUUAGCAAGUGUGUUUGUGCUUUUAAUUAUGUCAUUCCACCAAGAGGAACUAGAAACAAUUGACCAUUCAUGUUCUAUCUCCUUUAAUUUACCCUGUUCAUGUUCAAAUUGAAUUUCUGUUUCUUUCAACUGUUUUUGUAAUGAAUAUAAUAAUAUCUUGUCUUUCCUAAUCUCAUCUGCCCACUUUCUCCAUGGAAACUCAUUUGUUUGUGAAACAUUUAAUUGAAUAGGCAUAAUAUCUAUAUCUUGUAUAGGACUCUUCGAUAUGUUAACUUGAGUUCCUUGAAUAUGUAUUAUUAGUGGACCCCCAUUGAUACAAUAUAACCCUUUCUGUAAUGUUUCUGAAUGUGUACAGUCUGAAAAUGUAGCUCUUGCUAACUCAUUAUUUGACAUAACCUGUACACAUACUUUGUCUUUUUCUAUGGGAGUUACAAUUUCAUGAGGAUUUUUAACUGUUUUAAUUUUACCAGAACAUGUACUUUGGUUAUGAAAACAUGAAUGAUAAAUGGUUUCAACUUGGUUAUUUAAACAUAUUAUUAUUUUGGAUGCAAAAUGUAGACAACUAGAAAGAUCUACCUGCUCAAGUUCAGUAAUGUUAUUAUAAGAUACAAAAUCAGGAUAUUGUAAUUUAUAAAAUAAUAAUUGUGUGUUACUAAUAGGAAUUUCUAAUACCGACAUUGAAAAUUGGUAUUAAAGAAGAACUUAUACAUAUAUCAUUGUUACAUCUCAACCAUUUGUUAACCCAUAAAUCUGUAUGAUUUUUAGCGAACGCAAACUCCUCAGGUAAACUACGUUUGAGUUCUAUAUGAGUAGUACCACCUUGUAAUGCAUGUGCCAUCACCUUAAAAUCUGUAGAAUAUUCAACUUGUAUCUCUAAACAAGCUUUGGCUAUCUGGGAUGAAUCUGCAUUUCUCAUUAAAGCCAAAGUAGCUUCCUGUAAAUGUUGAACAGAGGGUGCAAUAACAGAGGCUGUGUUCAUAACCAUAUUUUUCAAUAUUUGAUUUAAACCUCUUUAAAUAUGCAAUCCUUUUUC
rnacentral:lncRNA from 1 species